rnacentral:lncRNA from 1 species
ACCCUCCGAUGGCAGCAAGGCAUGGGACUCACAGUGAUUCGUUUCCACAUCGAGAAAGACUUAGGAGUUUUCCCAUCCCCUGACCAGAUGGAAGUAUCGCCCUCGCCGGACUAGAGCGUCCACCUAGCCUCUGGUCACCAAUAACACGGUAUCGCUGGUCCAGACUCGCCGCUCGCCAGAAAUCGAAGUUGGAAUCGCCGGAAGUGGGGGUGGGAGAAAAACACGAUUUGGGUGAAGAAACAAAGUUAUUUAACUUUUGGGUGG